rnacentral:rRNA from 1 species
AACGAACGCUGGUGGCAGGCUUAACACAUGCAAGUCGAACGCAUCCUUCGGGGUGAGUGGCAGACGGGUGAGUAACGCGUGGGAAUCUACCCAUCUCUGCGGAAUAGCUCCGGGAAACUGGAAUUAAUACCGCAUACGCCCUACGGGGGAAAGAUUUAUCGGGGAUGGAUGAGCCCGCGUUGGAUUAGCUAGUUGGUGGGGUAAAGGCCUACCAAGGCGACGAUCCAUAGCUGGUCUGAGAGGAUGAUCAGCCACAUUGGGACUGAGACACGGCCCAAACUCCUACGGGAGGCAGCAGUGGGGAAUAUUGGACAAUGGGCGCAAGCCUGAUCCAGCCAUGCCGCGUGAGUGAUGAAGGCCUUAGGGUUGUAAAGCUCUUUCACCGAUGAAGGUAGUGACGGUAGUCGGAGAAGAAGCCCCGGCUAACUUCGUGCCAGCCGCCGCCGUAAGAC